ACCAAUUAAAAUUAAUUUUAUUAAUAUUCGAUUGGUUCUUUUAAAAAUUUAGCAAUAUUAAUUUUAUCAAAAUAUAAAUAAAACCGAGUAAUCUUACAUAGUCAAAUCUAAUUGAUUUCUUGAGAUUCAAUAUAAGCCGUGAGUGAUUUAUAGCUGAAAAAAACAAAACAAAUUUGGAUAUGCUACUCCUAGGAAAAAAAAAAAAGAUAAUAAAUUCAUGGAUGCUUUUGAAGAGGUUCGCUCUAAGGAUCCCUUAACCAGUUACUAGAUUUAAAUGUCAGAAUCAAAUUGUGAUUAUGACCAAUUGUAACAUAUCUCUUUAGGCUUCUACUGGGACAAUCUGUUUAAUGUGGCUUGAGUUUGAUGCAUAAAAAAUAUGAAGAUCUUAGCAAACAAAUUAAAAUACUGCCAUCCAAUUCCAAAUAUGGUAUCCAUGAGUCUCAACGGCCAUUGAUAAGGACUCCAAAGCUGUGAAUUGAGAUUAAAGGAGUCAGAAUCAACUGAAUUUAUGGACUAAUCAAUAAGAGUUAGACCUUGAAGGCAAAGCUAAUGCAAACCAGAUCAUGCACGUCUUGAAGAUCCACUCUCUGGGCCUCAGAACUUCAAUUUCAUGCAUAAAGGUGGAAAUUAUCAGGGAGUAAAAGAUCAAUACAAAUAUUGAAAAAACACAUGUAUAUGUCUUUUUUUUUUAAUACUAUAAAAGCAAUGCAAGUAUUGAAGUACAGGUGCAGAUGAAGUGUAACAAUCAGAUUCAAUGAAUGUGGCAAGCGAACUAAUUAAUCUGACAUGUGGAGCAAAAUGGGAGUGAAUAAAGAAAAAUCAACGGCUCUCUUAGCAUUCCAAAAUCAGAAGCAAGCACAAACAUGAAUUGCCUUGAUCCCCAACUGUCUCUCUUCCUGCGCUUCCACUUAAGCCCCCUUCUCUCUAUUUAAUGUUAUUAUAAUCCAUUUCUCUUGCAACUUGUAACGUUUCCCGAGCUUUGCAUUUCGGGCCCCAUAGCUCACGCUAUGCAUUUUCACCUUGAAAGCGAUAGCUUCGAAGACAAAGUGAAAAUCCCACAACCAUACGCAGGAAUACCAUGUAAGAAAACACUUGCUUGAGCAUUUUUUUUCUUUUUUUUCGGGUAGUGGGUUGUCAGAUUCAUCAUCGAAGAGGCCUGAGUUGGGUUCCUACAGUCUCUCUCUUUAGUUCUUGUCAGUAUAUGCACAUUUGACUAGUUGAAUACAUUAUAGAACUUAUAAAAUCUGCUUUGUCCUUUGCUUGCUGAAUUAUGAAAAUCAUCAAUGGAGUUUUAGAAUCCAGCGAUCUUGUAUCAUGGGAAAUCAAAAUUCAGGAUUCUUACUUCUAAAGUGUCGCCAAUGUUGAUCACUAAUGCAUUUGGAAUGGGCUGAACAGGGAUCCACUUGUUGUCUUUAAGGAUUUGAAGUCCAACUGAGCUACCCUUUCCUUGCUGCAGCACAGUUAGGGCACUCCCAUCUGAAUGUGGGCUUAGGCCUAGAACAAGGUCAGGUCUUGAACAGGGGGGGUAGUAGUUCAUCCUUAUGGCUUGCACAGCCACCCCAAACAUUUCUUCAAAAGUAUCUGCUUUCAGGCCAAGGGUCAUGGCUAUGUACUUCAAUAGAUUCUGGCACAGCUUCCUCACUUCUCUAGAAUAAACCUCUACAGUUUCACUGCACAAGUAACAUAUGACAUUACUGCUAAGAAAUUUGUAGUAUUAAAACUCUAUAGUAUCAGUAAGGCACAAAACUUACCCAAAUUUUGGUGGAUUUAUCGGCCACAGUUUCGGGCUCCUUAUAUAGUGGGGCUCAAUUCCAAGAGCAAACAUGUUGCACCAGUCCAGCUUUUGGUCCUCAGAGAACACAAAGGCUUGUCCAUAUCCCUGAACUGUUCCUGGUGCCAUUGGAUACUUCUGCUUCUCCUCUAAAGGUAGCAUGAAAAAAUUCUGGGCCACCUCCUCCAUGCUCUCAAGCAAACUCAGAUUAAUUCCAUGGUUAAUCACCUGA